GACGGGCCCGCACAAGCAGCGGAGCGUGUGGUUAAUUCGAUGUUACACGAAGAACCUUACCAGGGUUUGACAUGCAAGUGGUAGGAAACCGAAAGGUGACCGACCCUUCGGGGAGCUUGCACAGGUGCUGCAUGGCUGUCGUCAGCUCGUGUCGUGAGAUGUUCGGUUAAGUCCGCUAACGAGCGCAACCCUCGCUGUGUGUUAUAUGUGUCACACGGGACUGCCGGUCUUAAGCCGGAGGAAGGUGGGGAUGAUGUCAAGCCAGCAUGGCCUUUAUAUCCUGGGCUACACACACGCUACAAUGGCCAACACAAUAGGUUGCUAAGCCGCGAGGUGGCGCCAAUCCAUAAAGUUGGUCUCAGUUCAGAUUGUAGGCUGCAACCCGCCUGCAUGAAGAUGGAGUUGCUAGUAACCGCAGGUCAGCUAUACUGCGGUGAAUACGUUCCCGGGGCUU
rnacentral:rRNA from 1 species